UGGUGGUGGUGGUGUGAGCACUAUGGAAUUGGAGGUCCCACCUGUGAAACAGAAAGAAGGGUUAGUGAUGGAAGAAGCUGUGGAUCUUCAAGGGAAAGAGGAGAAAGCUAUCCCUGAUGACAACACUGCCUUGAAUCAGUCCUUUACAUCCCCACUUUCAGUUCAGGACAUAGCAGUAACACCUCAACCUUCUGUAAGAGCUUAUUUUCCUUUUAAUUAUGCCCUUUCCUUUUUUAUUCUAUCUUCUUAAAGUCUAUGUCAUAUGUGGGGAGGGAAUGAAAAGAAGAAAAAACCAGUAGUUCCCAUAUACCAUUUUCAUUCUACAAUAUUCUUAGGCCAAAUUUUGUACUUUCCCCCCUGCACAAGAAAUAAAUGAUUAUGACAGAUUUUACUUAAAAUAAAUUGUUGUUAUUGUUGUUUUCCAAGGGGAGAAAAAGACUGGAAAGGUUAAAUUAUUUUCUCAUGUUUUAUUACUAAUUUACUAUGUUGGGUUUUCAGUAGCAACUUGUUAGUUAGGUAGCUAGAUCAUCCUAAUUUCUAAAAUCAUUGAACCUGACAUCCGAGUAUUAUGAGUUUAAAUAAAUAUUGAUGACUCAAUGUUUUUCUUUUUUCUACUAGUUCAAAGAUGAAGAAGGUCUCAAUGUCUCCCAAAAUUGGCCCAAUAUAGACCCUGUGAAUGAAUCUUAUGUUCCAUCAGGGAAACAAAAGCAGAAGAGGAAGUACGGCAUCUUAGAUAGAACUGAAGCUGGCUUACUACAAGCUAGAGCUGCAAUCAGAGAAGCAAGAAAUGGGAACCAAACACAAGAUAUGGACUAUGUUCCUGUUGGACCAAUGUAUUAUAAAGCUAAUGCAUUUCACAGGUAACAAAUAAUGCAACACUGCUUUAUUUUCUCAUUACACAUCUUGCUAGUAUCUAAUAUAGUAGUACCCCUGUUCAAUUUUGUGUUGAGACUUCACAAUUGGCAAUAAUCAAGUUCUGGAAGAUUGUAACUUCUUACCAAUUAAUGAGUGAAUAGGCUCACCAAUUUUUUCAACAUGAGAAGCACCAUAAGUAAAACAUAUUUUAGUAAUUUUACUAACACACAGAACCUUGAACUUUUGACAGGAGUUACUUAGAAAUGGAGAAACAGUUGAAGGUAUAUGUCUACGAGGAAGGGGAACCUCCAUUUUUUCAUAAUGGACCUUGCAGAGGUGUAUAUUCAUCAGAGGGAAAUUUUAUCCAUGCUAUGCAGAUGAAUGAACAUUUCAGAACAAGAGAUCCGGAGAAAGCACACGUAUUUUUCCUUCCUUUUAGCGUAACAAAUAUGAUUCGAUAUGUCUAUGUACCUGACUCUCAUGAUCGUAGCCCCAUACAAAAAAUUGUGAAGGACUAUAUCAAUGUCAUUGCUCUAAGACACCCCUUUUGGAAUAGAAGCCUAGGAGCUGAUCAUUUCAUGCUUUCUUGCCAUGAUUGGGUAAGUAUAUCAUUCUUACUUCUUCUUGAUUUAGUAGGCACAAAUACUUACUAAGGUAGUAAUUAAUAUUGUAAGAAAUUGUCUUUAUGAUUCUUCAAUUUCAGGGUCCAAUGGCUUCAAGGUCCGUUCCUAACUUGUACAAGAAAUCGAUUCGCGUGCUAUGCAAUGCUAACACAUCUGAAGGAUUCAAGCCUGGAACAGAUGUUUCUUUUCCAGAAAUGAAUCUUCGAACCGGUUCAAUCGCCGGUUUGGUAGGUGGGCCAUCUGCAUCUAAGCGUUCAGUUUUGGCUUUCUUUGCUGGGAGGCUUCAUGGGCCUAUUAGGCCACCUCUUCUUGAUCAUUGGGAAAACAAAGAUGAUGAUAUCCAGGUUUACAGGUCCCUUCCAAAGGGUGUAACCUACUAUGACAUGCUGAGGAAGAGCAAGUUUUGCCUUUGCCCAAGUGGGUAUGAGGUUGCAAGCCCCAGGGUGGUGGAGGCUAUAUACACAGGUUGUGUCCCAGUGCUCAUGUCAGAUUCUUAUGUUCCUCCAUUCAGUGAUGUGUUGAAUUGGAAAUCAUUCUCCCUUGAGGUUUCAGUGAAAGACAUUCCUAGAUUGAAGGAAAUUCUGUUGAGUGUUACUCCAAGACAGUAUAUAAGAAUGCAGAGAAGAGUGAGACAGAUUAGGAGACACUUUGAGUUAAAUUUUCCUCCCAAGCGAUUUGAUGUGUUUCAUAUGAUCCUUCAUUCUGUGUGGCUAAGGAGAUUGAACUUCAGAGUCCAUGAUGAUGAAUAACAUGUAUUAUGACUACUAUUGACUUAAAAUAAGUUUGUUCAACUUAAUAAGAGAGUGAUCUCUUAUAAAGAGAGACUUUUCCUUCCUUAACCAUCUUCUUAGAGUUAUGCAAUAAAACAGAAAAACAUUCCAUAUUUCUGUUCCAACAGUAGCCUUACACAUAGGCCAUAGCCAAAGUUUUAUAGUACAUGUCUGGUAUUAAAUGGCUACAUGAAAAGCAAAACCUUUGGACCCAAACCAAUUAAUAUAUGCCUAAAACGGUGAAGUUUGUUGCUGAAAUAUGUAAGCAUUUAAGAAAAGGAAAAUCCUGCAUGUCUUCACCUCUUACUACCGCUCAUCAAUAUAAAUAGCUUCAACCCUGUUCUAAAGGAAUUUACAAAGCAUUAAAAUACCAAUUUCGCCCCUCCUUGGAUUGUACUAAUGCACAUUCAUAGAACGACAACUAAUCAUAGAAGUAAGAACUGGUCAAUAGCUUCGAGCUGGAAGUAAUUGUGUUAUUCCAGCACCACAAAAAUAAAUAAUUGUUAUUAUUAACUAAAUCUGUAAUCACAAUACACCACGACGGGUAGCUAGUUGCCAAUACAAGACUAAUUAAGGGUGUGGCAAAAGUUCUUGGGUAAUUGGGUUCAAUUAUACACAAUACAUUCAGUGGAAGGAAAAACAAUCUUCAUUAAAUGAUAAUUUUAAUAAUCAUGCUGAACAUGUAAUUACCCAUGGUCUUAUUUCGAAUAAUUUAUUUGAGCUUAAUGUUUAUAUUAGUCUUCAAGAGAUUUUGCAUAAAUAUCUUAUAUUCUAGGCUUAAAUAUGUUUUUGGUCCCUCUAAAAUUAGGGUCUUUUGGUUUAGGCUCCUCUAAAUAUUUUCUUUUCGUAUACACCCUUAUUUUGAAAAUAAUAUGGAGGGAUAAGCCCCUGCCGUUACCUUUGCCUAACGGACGCAGACGUGCAUAUUUUAGGGACCUAAACCAAGGAACCAUAAUUUUAGAGGGACUUAAACCAAACAACCAUGAUUUUAAAGGACCUAAAACUCAAUUUUUACCAUGUCUUAGGUCUCUAAAAUCAAGAUUCUUUGAUUUAGGUCCCUCCAAACGAUGUACGUUGACGGCAGAGGUUGAAACCUCAGUAUUAUUUUGCACUUAGGGGUGUAUACCAAAAAACCUAUUUAGAAGGGCCUAAACCAAAAAACUCUAAUUUUAGAGGGACCAAAAACAUAUUUAAGCUUAUAUUCUAUUUACAAAAUGUUUUGAACUUAUUUUCAUUGGCCGGUGAAUAAGAAUGUAUGUUUAUCUACAACCUAUUUUUAGUUAUUUAAAAAUUUUCUAAAAUUAGUUUUUUUUGGUACAACUAAAGCUAAUGAAUAGACACUUGUGCAUGUGAUAACGUCUAUUGUACGUUUUUUAUGUUAACGUAGAAUUUUGUCAAUUUAUGUAUAUUUCAUAAGAAGAGCAACUGGCCCUGCACAAUUGCAAAAUUAAUUUUAGUCCCAAAAUGACCCGUCUUAAACAAGAGGAGGUCCCAAACGACACAUGCGAACGAAUAAAAAACUUGUUCGCUAGAAUAUGAUCUGACUAAAAUACGGGACCAUUUAUUAAUUAGAUGAAAGUGAUUGGACAACACAGUGGAUGGAGUCGUUGAAAAUAAAACAAGAAUGGAAGGGUAAAAAACGAAAAUACAGAAAGGUAAAUGCAAAUACAAAGAUUUUCUUUUUACAAAAUGGAAUAGAAAGAGUUAAAAGAAAACACAUUCAAAUUAUCGGAUAGAGCGUCACUGACAUGCUAAGUAGAUUAGCAAAAGCUCACUCAUCAUGGAUAUAUAUCACGAGAUAUCUAUGAGGAGUUUUGUCCACCAAAUAAAAUUUUAUUACACGCAGAUAAUUCAAACCCUUGAGUGUGACUGUACUAGAAGAUGAGAGUUAAACCGAAACCAGGAAGAUUGAGUUACUUGCAUGCAAAUUAAAUAUACGGAUUUUGACAGCAAGGUGGAGUGGACUCAUUUAUUACCAACAUUUCUCCUUCCUCUUAUUCCUUCUACUUAGUUGUACGUGCCAACAAUAACAAACCUCUCUGAUUUCUACUCCUCUGUUUUUCUCUCUGUCUUUUAUUUCUCUAUAAAACAAAACAGUGCUAUGUUUGGUUUCUGCCCCCACAUAUAGAUAGAGAGAAAAUAUUUACUCACGUGUUUUGGAAUUCUGAACUUGUGGGGUUCAAGAUUAACAAGCUACUCCUCUCAUGGGUGGUGAAGGUUGGAAUCUUUGUAGUAGGGGUACUUCAAGUUCAAGUUCAGGGAUAUUUUCAUCCAUGAAGCUCUUGCUUUCAUGUUGCCUCUUGUACUUGUUGCUGCACUAAUUUGUGUAAAGGGUCCUAACCCCUCAAGUUGGUUUCUAGUUACUACCAACCCACCUCUCUUAUUAAACUCUGUUAUUCCCUCUGCUUCAAAAAAUGGUAGUGGUGGUGGUGUGAGCACUAUGGAAUUGGAGGUCCCACCUGUGAAACAGAAAGAAGGGUUAGUGAUGGAAGGAGCUGUGGAUCUUAUAGGGGAAAAGAAGAAAGCUAUCCCUGAUGAUAACACUGCCUUCAAUCAGUCCUUUACUUCCCAAGUUUCAGUUCAGGAUCAGGACAUAGCAGGAACACCUCCUGAACCACCUGCUGUAAGAGCUUACUUUUCUUUUAAUUAUGUACUUUAAUUAUGUCCUUUCUUUUUGGAUUGUAUCUUCUUAAAGUCUAUGUCACAUGUGG
rnacentral:lncRNA from 1 species